rnacentral:rRNA from 1 species
UAGGGAAUCUUCCGCAAUGGACGCAAGUCUGACGGAGCAACGCCGCGUGAGUGAAGAAGGAUUUCGGUUCGUAAAACUCUGUUGUUAGAGAAGAACAGCGCAUAGAGUAACUGUUAUGCGUGUGACGGUAUCUAACCAGAAAGCCACGGCUAACUACGUGCCAGCAGCCGCGGUAAUACGUAGGUGGCAAGCGUUGUCCGGAUUUAUUGGGCGUAAAGCGAGCGCAGGCGGUCAAUUAAGUCUGAUGUGAAAGCCCCCGGCUCAACCGGGGAGGAUCAUUGGAAACUGGUUGACUUGAGUGCAGAAGAGGAGAGUGGAAUUCCAUGUGUAGCGGUGAAAUGCGUAGAUAUAUGGAGGAACACCAGUGGCGAAGACGACUCUCUGGUCUGUAACUGACGCUGAGGUUCGAAAGCGUGGGUAGCAAACAGG